rnacentral:lncRNA from 1 species
UCCAGCUAUUUGGCCCAACCCAUAUUAGAUUGUGUUAUAAAGACAUGGUAAAUUACAUCACGAAGGGAAGAGCAGAGGAAACAUAAUAUUCCUUCAAGACCCAUCAGCUCAGAUGUUAGCAGAACACCCCUAAGGAGGAAAACAAGAAAUUUUGGGUUUGAACUUGGUGCUUCCCAGCAGCCCUGGGAGUGGGGUCAGAAGCCCUGCUGGGGGGCGAAGAACUCUGAGGAUCAAAGAUGUUGAGCAUCACCUUAGAGGCCAAAGAUCAGAACAGCGGAGGUGGCCUUUGAAGCCCAACCUGUCUUUCACCAGAGAGUGAGAACGGCCUCUAUUUCCAGGAAGCUCACUGCAGCAAUAAUCACGAUGCUCUGAGCCUGACAAGGUGAGAAUUUACUUUCAGCACCUGCAAUAGUUUCCUAUUAAAGUUACAUAUGAAACCCUGCCGUCUUGUACCAACUAAUGUUCACACCAGCGUUCCUAUUUUCAAGAUAAAUUGCAAAAUAAAAACUCUUGUUUUUGUUAGCAAAAGAAAACUUCUUUAGGAGGAUAAAAGGGAGAUGAAGAAACAGAAAACACAUCAGCUCUCCAUCCAGAUUACAGAAAGCAGAAAACAUCCUGAAGUGAAUAACAUAGGAAUCACUCUUUUUCCCCCCUGAGAUAGCAGGUUACUUAUGAGAAACAAGCUUGAAAUCUCUGCACCUGGACCAGCUUCCAGAGGCUUUUGUCCUGACCAGCUGGCUUUGGGGAAGUAAAGGAAACCAGGGAAGAAGGGGCUGAAUUGGUUUCCACCGUGACCUUUGAACCCUCGGGCGAGUUGUCAACCUCACUGAGGAUGAGUGUACUCGAUAUCAAAUGAGGUCACUUUACUCGCAAGCUUGUUGUGAGGACUGAAUGAAACCUUUUCUUUUUUCUUGGAGUUUCAGAGCAAUGUCCCUGAGCCAAGCCCCACACUGGCUUGAGCCCUAUCGUCGGUCAAGACACGGUGCUUUCUCCCCUCCCCUCUGCACUCCAGCUUACUCUGCAGUCAGGAGGUGGCACCAGGAUCCCCUUUAAGACUUUGCCACUUGGGCCAGCUGUGCCCCUGUGAAAUUCCCUGUUUCUAUUGCAGGCCACAAGGACGAGCUGAGAAAUGGCUUCCAGUCACCAUCUAGAUUAGAAAGCCUAUAUUUCAAAUAUAGAGAUAUCAAUUAUGCCUGUAAAAAGACAUUAAAUCCCACAGGGCUGUAAUUCCUAGACUCUACGAAUUUCAUCUUGCACCAAAUUUUAUUAUUUCAUUUAUAAUUCGGAUUCUUCAAAUCUAAGAGUGCCUGGCUCAAAAUUAAAAUACCUACAACUAUGCCAAAACUGGACUCUUUAAUUGCCUUACUGGAACCAGUAGCUGAUUCAAAGCAAAACGAAACAAAAUUCCUCCUUUCUCUGAUUUAGUGAAUCAAUGAUCUAACUGAACUCAUUUUUAGACUGAGUUUGCGGCACUUGCAGCCCUGAGGGACACAUUCCCCCACCACACUGAGCCUGCACUCCCAUCAAUGCAAAUGAACAUUUUGCUUAUUCAGAUUGGGGGGGGUGAAGGAAG